rnacentral:lncRNA from 1 species
CCCCUUGGCUAGGGGGGGAUUCGAAACCAUGUUUAUGCUUGCUAUAUGAUUUGAUUACUUCCAAUUGCGUUUCUUGAAUUGUGAAUUCAAUUUACUUAUCCGUUCGUAUAAAAACUAAUUUGUGUAUGUUGGUUGAGAGUGCACGCUUAAUUUUCAUGCAUGAAUUUGACGCUAGAAUAUAAGGGAGUUUCACCUAAUCGUUAUGAACUUAUAUUCACAAGUAGUGAAGGUUGCUAGUC